rnacentral:rRNA from 1 species
AAUCAACGCUGGCGGCGUGCCUCAGACAUGCAAGUCGGACGAUUAAAGCUCUCUUCGGAGAGUGUAUAGAGUGGCGCACGGGUGAGUAACACGUAAGUAAUCUACCCUCGAGUGGGGAAUAACGUUCGGAAACGAACGCUAAUACCGCAUAAUGCAGCGGCAUCGCAAGAUGACAGUUGUUAAAGGAGUAAUUCGCUUGA